UGCAAUUUUCCCACCACGCUUUCUCGUCGACGACUAACCACACCCACAAUAGUCGUCACUCUCACCACUACUCAAAUGGAUAUGAUAAUAAAUGAAAGUUCCAGAUCUUGAAAAUUGUUGUUGUUACACAGAGGGAUAAGAUGAGAGAACAUACGAUGUCGUCAAGUUGCAAGCAAACGGCGUCCGAGGAGCUCCCGAACCGGAGGACGAGUACUGUCAAUGGUGUCUCUGAUUAUGGUGUCUACUUCUUGCUUCUUCCUCAAUGUCGAGAGUAAAUAUUCCCUCUCUCUAUGGCUAUUUUGGGCUACACAAUUGAUUACUGGUUUAAUUGUUUUCCAAAUUGAAUUAGGAUUACUGGGAAGGUGGGUAUUUUGAUAAUUUGAGCUCCAAUUCAUACGUGAAUAGUUCUGAUUGUAUGCCUCUUUUUCGCUAUAAGUACCCCUGUUCGGAGGUGGUGCUGGUUUCGAUUUUGAGGCGAAGUGGUGCCCGCAUCGAUUUCGAUUUCUUAUUUUGGUUCUAUUUAGCAGUGAAUAAGAGGAUAGCCAAGGUGGUGGAGGUUGUGGAAUUGAUGGGGGCUGACGGAUUUGGGCGGAGAUGGGCAGCCGGGGUUGGGUAGUCCACGGCUUCAGAUUAUGGUCGGGGUGAGGUGGGGGUGCAGUCAGGGAAGAAGAUGAAGAUUGACUAUUUUCCUUUUUUAGUUUAAUUUAAUUGUUAAUAAUAUAGAAAAAUAAUGUUAAUUCUAAAUAUACCAUUUUAUCAUUUCUAAUUCAGUCGAAAUAGGUCAAAAUUUAUUUUUCUUGGUCAA
rnacentral:lncRNA from 1 species